AAAAAAAAAAAGAGAAACAGCCAAAAUCCGCUGUUCACACAGUAUUCAGGAUUAUAACCAGAUCUACUGGUACAAGCAAACGAAGAACGGGCAGAUGCAGCUCCUGGGAUACAUGAAUGUAAACGAUGGAUAUCCUGAAGAUGGAGUGAAUGUAAAGAUGGAAGGGGGUGCACUAAAAGACCAAACGUGCACAUUAACAAUAGAAGAACUCCAGCUGAACAGCAGUGCAGUGUACUUCUGUGCUGCUAGUUCACACAGUGCUACAUAUCACUGCUCCUCAGUACAAAAACCUUCUGAUAUCUUCAUGUUACAGCUCACACUUACACCUGUAUUAACCCAUUCUAACCAAUGUUGGUCUUCCCUUUCAUCCAGAUCAGAUAUUAUAAUGGGAGGUUCCUUAUGUUCCUAACAACAGCCUCAGACGUUCAGCAGGUCUGCAGUGCCUGCACCUUAUUUCAACAAGAUAACUAUCACAUGGUUGUCCAAUUAUCUGAAUGCAACUGUCUACUACUGAGAAAUAAAUCAACAGCUCCAGAAGUUUUUAAAUAUUCAGACUAAGAGACCAAGUUCAUGUUAGCAGUGUCUCUGGUGGUACAUCAUAUCACAUCAUACAGCGACACUCCCACAACUCUUCAUCUCUCUGCUGUAACGUCACACCUCCCAUCACACACACUGACACCGACUAUCGGUCUCCAAGUUCAUGUUACUCAGAACACAAUAAUGAUCACUGCUGGUCUGAUCAGACUCUCUGCAGCUCUGCUCUGGAUUGUAGGUCUAAUUGAUGGGAGUGAUGUCACUCAGACACCUUUGCUGUGGAAGCUCAAGGAUCAGUCUGCCACAAUGAACUGCAGUCACAACAAGGACGCUUCUUUUUACCAGAUGUACUGGUACAGACAGCUACCAGGAGAGGGGAUGAAGCAAAUAGUUUACACAACUACAAUUCCCCCGUUUCAAUAUGAAAGUGGCUUCAGCGAGGACAAGUUUCCAGCGCAGAAGAACAACCCUCAGACUGGAUCUUUGACAGUGGAGAAGCUGCUGCCUGAGGACAGUGGAGUGUAUUUUUGUGCUGUGAGUCAACACAGUGAUACAGGUGACUGAGACAGCUGUACAAAUACCCAACUGUUGCUGUCACAAUGAAUAGAAGACACCAUCACUGUGUAUAAUUCUCUGUAGGAGGAGCUGGAGACCUGUAUACUACAUUAAGAUUUUGAGUAGUCAGUUUUAUUUAUUAUAUCAGUAGCUUUGUGAUAUAAUUGUUAUACUGGAGUGUAGAAAUAUGUU